ACUUACUUGGAUCGAUCUGCGGUUUCUCUCCGUUUGCCUCACUUUCUCCAUUGCUUUCAGAGAAUGCGCCUUCGUGGCUUUGCUUAUCCCUAUCAACUGGAGGAGAACCACAAGCAUAAUCAGAGAGAGACAAAGUUUUAAUCUGAAAUCUUACAGAGAUCCGAUUUUAACAACGCUCUCUCCCCCCAUUCACUAUUACAAAGGCCCAUAAUGAAACUAUUAUCCCCCAUUAGAGUUCGAAAAUUACGGAACAGUUGCAAGAUCUCCACAAACAAGGAGCCCGUUAUUUUCUAAUAAUUUAAAAGAUGCAAAUAAAUCUCUCCUUUUUUUUUUUUUUUU